UACGUAGGGUGCAAGCGUUGUCCGGAAUUAUUGGGCGUAAAGAGCUUGUAGGCGGUUUGUCGCGUCUGCUGUGAAAUUUCGGGGCUCAACCCCGAACUUGCAGUGGGUACGGGCAGACUAGAGUGUGGUAGGGGAGACUGGAAUUCCUGGUGUAGCGGUGAAAUGCGCAGAUAUCAGGAGGAACACCGAUGGCGAAGGCAGGUCUCUGGGCCACUACUGACGCUGAGGCGCGACAGCGUGGGGAGCAAACAGG
rnacentral:rRNA from 1 species